CCUGGAUUUGCAUCAGAGGUGGAUGCCAGCGGGAUGGAAGGGAUGGAACACCUGAGAGAACCCAGGAGGAAGAGUGGCAAACAAGAUCAGGAAUCAGAGGAAAGGAUAAAAACAUAGGCUACCUAGGAAGGAAAUCAUUCAUUAAAACAACCUUGAGCCACAGGGGCUGUGAGGGCCAUUUGAUGAUUGGCCACAGGAUCCAACCUGUGGGGGUGGAAAGAGCUGCUAAUGGAAGGAAGAAGUCUUCCAGGCAGCUCUUCACCCCAGAGUUACUCUUUUCCUGUCUAAACCCAUGGAAGAUGCUGAAACUCCUUCUUCAACAGCUGGGGAAGACAUUCACAGACGGUUUGUAGAGGCAUUUUGUUACAGAAGCCACUCAGGGAACAGGUUUACCUUGGAAGAGAAUUGCACCUCCUGAAAUUCCUGCAUUUGCAUGAAUAUGUGUGGAAGCAAACAGGAGCAGAAAUAGCUAAAGGAGAAGAAAUUCAGACAUCUGUACACGCUGGUGUGAAUGGUUGGAGGCCAACAAUUCUGCAGUUGGUCUCUCACCGAUACUUCAAGGAGGGGUCCAGUUUCCACCGGCUGGGGAUGCAGAAGGGGACCUGUGGCCAGUGCUGCUCUGGCAGGAUAAGGGCAGAGGAUUCAGACAGCAUCAGGGCCAGGCAUCCCAGACUGUCAGGCACAGGACUGAGCCAGAGCUCUACCGGUGCCUUCGUCAGAGCCGUGACCUCUAGGUAAACCAUAUUGCUCAUUCCACAAAGCAAGGUCCAAACUGAUGCUCCUUGUUUCUGUUCCUAUAGCGUUUAGGGUUUGGGGAAAACAAACAAACAAACAAACAAACCUUUGCAUAUUAACAGUAGAUGCGCGUGAUCUCUGAGAGAGAUUAAAAAGGUAGCGCCCCGUCCUCUCCCUUCCCUCCUCUUCCCUUCCCUGCUCUCCUGCGAGGUCUUCAGUCUCCCUCCUUUUCUCCCCCUAGCCCCGUGUUUUCUUCUUUUCUUGGCCUCCUUCUGACUCUUCUGGCCAUAAAAUGAAACUAAACUUUAUCUCUUAGUAUUUAUGACAGAGAAUUUUAUGUUUCCUGGUCUUGGUUUAGAAAAGGCGCAAGUGAAAUAGCUUUGUUUAUGUAUACAUUUAAAUCGACUAAAUUAACGGGAUCUUUAUGUUUUGUGUCCCUACCCCUCCCACCCUUUGCCCUAAACGAUGGCACUUUCGAUGCCAAAAUGGCAUCUACCCAGGUCUGGUACGAACACAGCAUUUGCAAAGGAUGUUUAUAGAGAGAAUGGUGUUGUAGGUGCCUCCCGAGCUUGCCUGGUAAUUCCAGCCCUUCGCAGGGUAACAUGAAACCUCUUCACUCACACAAUGAACUGGGGCGAGAGCCAGGACGGAGAGACAGGCAAGUCGCGGAGCGAUUCCACAGUGUCCGCUGACGCUGGGGCUCUCGGUUUGAAGGUCGCAGAAUUCCUACUUGCUCACCUCUGACAUCAUCUGCUUCUGUCUGCAGGGGGUGCAGAGACUCCAAAAAAUGAAAAUAGUCACGUUCAAGCUUAGCAAGGAGCUGCGUAGAAGCCCCAGCGUGACUGUCCAUGGCCCAUCAAAGGGUGGUAGCAGCGGCUCUCCCCAGGACGGGCUUCAGUUAGUGCAGAGAGUGAUGAUGGGGAGGCCACCUCUGGAGGAGAACCAGCUGUUGGGCUCCCUACCUGGGAUCCCAAAGCCAAAGGCAAAGGGGUUGGGCUUUGCCAUUUCCCCCAAGCAGAACAAACCAGAAUGGUCCCAGUGGGACAUCCGCAUCCGGUGAAAACUUGCUCCAAUCUGGGGCUUAUUCAGUGAAAUCCAUUGUCCUCUCCCCGUGAGAGGGGUUCUCAAUUAAAUUUCUCCCGAGGUCCUUUUUCUCCCCUGGUGAUCUGUUUCUUACAAGACCUUUUUUUUUUUUUCCUUCUCUUUUUCCAGCUCCUGCAAGGUUGAUUCACAGAAUACUAUAAUUCAAGUUUGGGAUCAGGCUUAAACAGUGCCAUUUAUAGAAGAUGAGCCUCAGUUUCCUUAUUUGCCAAGUAAGAGAGGAGGCAAAUACAAAAUGGAAAGGCUCCAGCUAGGUCCCAGGAGAACACUACCAGGAAUUUUGGGGGGAAAGAGAGUUAUUUGAAGCUAAUGAAAAUUAAAAGGGUUUUCUUCCAGGCUCCUCCAUAAUCCUCCCUCUUCAAGUUCAGAGCAAGAAGAUGAGAAGGAGAUUGCCCCAAAUGAUGUCAUGUUGAUCUGAUCGACAGCAGAGAGAGUGCACAACCUCCCAGCUCCUCUUCCACCUUCUCUCCCUCGGAGACUAAUCUAGGCCUGCAAAGGGUAGAAUGAACACCAGCGACAACAGCCUGAAGCCAUGAUAGGUGGAGAGAGAAUGAAAGAGUUCAAGUCUUCGAGCCCAGACAAACUGCCUCCCAGAGACAAGCAGGGCUGGGGAACUACACGCUGCCAUCUUGGAGAAAGAGCCAGAAAAAAGAGGUGCCAAGUGACUGCCAAUAAGCACAUUUGUCCCAAUGUUCAAAGAGAGGGGAAAGCUGCCUUCUGGAAACCACAAGCUGCAGAGCUUCAUACCAGCCCCUCUCAAAAUUCUAGAUUGCAGGAUUAAAGAGAAGAUUGGGAACAGUUAGUCAGGAAAACAGGAAACAUCAGAAGCUGGCCUGGGCCCAUUAGCACAAAGUCAUUCCAGGGAUGGUUCUGAUAUAAUGUCAAGUUGGGAGAGAAAAGCUGUAAUUUUAAAGUUUUGUUUUGUUUUUUUACCAAAAAUUGUUUUAGAACUAUUAUUCAUUCAUUCAUUUAUAAACCUCUACUGGGAUGUAAGCUUCAUGUGGGCAAGGAUGUUUCUGGGGGGAGAGGGGUUGCUCUUUUGCUCACUGUCACACCUGGAACAACAUCUGGCAUGUAGAAGUCACUCAAUAAAUAUUUUUGAAUAAAUCAAUAUAUAUGCAUAAUAAAGAUUAGAAGGAGACAUAGCAAUAUUUAACUGAGAUUAUUCCCGGGUAGUUAGAUACUAGGUGAUUUUAAUUUUCUUCUUCUUUUUUUUUUUUUCCUCAGGGCCACACACAAGGUAUAUGGAAGUUCACAGGCUAGGGGUAAAAUCAGAGCUGCAGCUGCUGGUCUACACCACAGCCUCAGCACCCAGGAUACGAGCUCCAUCUGUGACCUAUGCUGCAGCUCACAGCAAUGCUGGAUCCUUAUCCCCUGAGUAAGGCCAGAAUCAAACCCCCCUCCUCAUGGAUACUAGUUGGGUUCAUAACCCACUGAGCCACAAAUUGAACUCCUUAAUUUUCUCCUUAAUACUAGGGUUUUUUCCCUCUAUUUCCCAUAUUUUCUGUAAUAAACAUAGAUUACUCUUAUAAUCACAAAAAUAAAACAUACUCUCCUCAUUGAAAGACUCAUAACAAAUUGGUCUCAUUUUUUUUCUGUUUGUAAGUAUUACCAUACUGGUAAACCAGGAGAAUGUGAAUUUCCAUGAAGUGUUUCCCAAAACCUCCCACAUUAUCCCUUGACCCAGAGAGAGAGUUGUGAGCUCAGUGAUGUCUACACUACGUGGAUCUGUUGAAUGACUAAACCCAAACAGGACUGAUUAAAAGAUCAGCGCCAACGCCAAGGAAAGUCUCUGGUGGUUUGAUACAGCGAUCUGUCUCAGUCAGUAUGUUCUACAGAGGCUUGGAGGAAGGGCUUCCUUGGAGAAAGGCCUGCUCACUUUUGCUGCAGACAAUAGAUAGCUGGAGAACCUAGCUGACAAGUUGAAGGACAGGAUUCAGAUAAAAAGGUCUCCAUAGAUUUUAUGGACCCAAACCAAUAAACUUGACAUGCUCAGGUUCCAAAAGUAUCUAUAGCCCAGGUUCUAAGAGAAAAAGACGUGCCUAAGAACAGUUAUGUGGACAGGGAACUCUACUCAAAACUUGGUAAUAACCUACAUGGGAAAAGAAUCUGAAAAAGAGUGGCUAUAUGUAAAUGUAUAACUGAAUCACUUGGCUAUACACCUGAAACUAACAGAAAAUUAUAAGUCAACUAUACUCCGAUAAAAAUUUUUAAAAAGAAAUUACAACAAAUAAAAAAGUAUGAACAGUUGUGCGGAAAAAGAUCCAAGCAACUUAGCUGUACUCAAGAUCGUGAUGGGUCAACAGAACGAUGUAGUGGCUCAGAAAGCUAAUGCAGUCUUGGGUCCCGUUAACUGAGUUCUUCUGUUAAUAUCUAGAGUUAAUGUUGAUUCAGACUUAGCAUUUUGUGAUCUAUGACAGCAUUUUCUGAAGUGUCCUCUGCAAUCGUCCAUGUUUCAUGGGGGUUUGGUGGUCACAUAUAUUUGGGCAUCACUCUAUAGUGGGGUCCCCUUUUGGAGAGGCACAGGGCAUAUUAGCAUAGUAAAGGCAUUGAGAAGUGCAGUAAUAAAGAGCUUCCUCAAUUUUUUUUUUUUUUUUUGUCUUUUUGCCUUUUCUAAGGCCGCUCCCGAGGCAUAUGGAGGCUCCCAGGCUAGGGGUGGAAUCGGAGCUGUAGCCGCCGGCCUACGCCACAGCCACAGUAAUGUGGGAUCCAAGCCGUGUCUGUGACCUACGCCACAGCUCACGGCAACACCAGAUCCUUAACCCAUUGAGCAAGGCCAGGGAUCAAACCCACAACCUCAUGGUUCCUAGUUGGGUUCAUUAACCACUGAGCCAUAAUGGGAACUCCCCCUCUAUUAUUUUACCAGUAAAUGUGGGAAGGGGAGGUUGGGUUUUUUUUUUGUUUUGGGGGCGGUUUUUAGUUUUGCGUGUAACACCUAUUAACAAUCAGAGCAAGUUUUGGGAAAGGCUGAUCUACCGUAAACCACACCAGGCAUGAGCAAGUAUCAUAUAUCUCUUUUUCCUCAUCAUCCAUGAGCCCAGGGCCAGGCACACAGGAGAUGCUCAGUGAACGCUAGUUGAAUGAAUGACAAAGAACAUACAUACCAGAGCACUACUGUAUCACAAACUCUCUAGAUCACAUUACCAAAAAGGUACGCAGACACUGGGCACACUUCCAAAGGAGAGCUAAGAGGAUGGUAGAUUUGGAACCUUGGUUCCCUAGGGGACGCUUUGCCUGGAAAAGUGAAGAUUGGUAAGAACAAACUCUUGGUAGGAGGAGAAUGUGCCAGACUGAGCCUGGCUGGGAUCUAAAAAUGAGGGAGACCCAUCAGGAGACAGUAGGGAUCAGUGAUCAAGAGACAAGUGAUCAGCAAAGUCCCAGAGUCAAGCAUGGGUAGGGAAGUGCAGUUAAGAGUCCCAGGGUCCUGGUUCUGGGGAGAGACCCCAGAGAGGCCGUUUAGUCCCAUGAUUCUCAACCCUGAGUACACAUAUUAACCUCCUGAAUCGUUUUUAAAAAUACAACAUCCAGGAGUUCCCACUGUGGGUUAAGAACCUGACAUGGUGGGUUAAGUUACCACUGUGGGGUCAUGCAUUAAGAUCUUGACGUAGUCUCCAUGAGGAUGUGGGUUCGAUCCCUGGCCUCACUCAGCAGGCUAAGGAUCCAGCAUUGCCACAAGCUUCAGCACAGAUCACAGAUGCAGCUCAGAUCUGGUGUUGCUGUGGCUGCGGCGUAGGCCUCAGCUGCAGCUCCGAUUUGAUCCCUAGCUUGGGAGCUUCCAUAUGCUGCAGGUGUGGCUCUAAAAAGAAAAAAAAAAAA
rnacentral:lncRNA from 1 species